rfam:Heterocephalus glaber contig5995, whole genome shotgun sequence.
UCUAUAUCGGAGACAGUGCUCUCCAUAUGUU